rnacentral:rRNA from 1 species
UGGGGAAUAUUGCACAAUGGGCGCAAGCCUGAUGCAGCCAUGCCGCGUGUGUGAAGAAGGCCUUCGGGUUGUAAAGCACUUUCAGCGGGGAGGAAGGCGAUAAGGUUAAUAACCUUGUCGAUUGACGUUACCCGCAGAAGAAGCACCGGCUAACUCCGUGCCAUCAGCCGCGGUAAUACGGAGGGUGCAAGCGUUAAUCGGAAUUACUGGGCGUAAAGCGCACGCAGGCGGUCUGUCAAGUCGGAUGUGAAAUCCCCGGGCUCAACCUGGGAAAUGCAUUGGAAACUGGCAGGCUAGAGUCUUGUAGAGGGGGGUAGAAUUCCAGGUGUAGCGGUGAAAUGCGUAGAGAUCUGGAGGAAUACCGGUGGCGAAGGCGGCCCCCUGGAAGAAGACUGACGAUCAGGUGCGAAAGCGUGGGGAGCAAACAGG